rnacentral:tRNA from 1 species
GGAAGGGUGACCGAGUGGUUUAAGGUGUAGCACCGGAAAUGCUAAGUAGACUCGUAGUUUACCGAGGGUUCGAAUCCCUCUCCUUCCU